UCUGGAUGUGUAGGUGCAGGUCACAGGGGA
rnacentral:piRNA from 1 species